UAAUACCGUAUAAGCUCACGCCGAGUAGGUAGGUGUGAGAAAAGGUUUACUGCUUGGGAGGGGGCUGCGGCCCAUCAGGUAGUUGGUGAGUAACGGCUCACCAAGCCGACGACGGUAGGGGGUCUGAGAGGAUGGCCCCCCACACUGGGACUGAGACACGGCCCAGACUCCUACGGGAGGCAGCAGUGAGGGAUAUUGCGCAAUGGGGAAACCCUGACGCAGCGACGCCGCGUGGGUGAUGAAGGCCUUCGGGUCGUAAAACCCUUUUGCCACUGACGAGGAAGGACGGUAGGUGGCGAAUAAGCCUCGGCUAACUACGUG
rnacentral:rRNA from 1 species